GACGUCGAUAUUCGACGUCAUAAAAACAGAAUCAACUUUGCUGUUUAUGACGUCGACGUGAUAAACACGAUCAACUUUGUUGUUUCUGACGUCGAUAUUCGACGUCAUAAACAGAAUCAACUUGGGUGUUUAUGAGGUCGACGUGAUAAGCACGAUCAAUUUUGUUGUUUAUGACGUCGAUAUUCGACGUC
rnacentral:tRNA from 1 species